rnacentral:rRNA from 1 species
UACGUAGGUGGCAAGCGUUGUCCGGAUUUAUUGGGUUUAAAGGGAUGCGUAGGCGGUCUUGAUUAAGUCAGUGCUGAAAUAUCCCGGCUUAACCGGGAGGGUGGCAUUGAUACGUGUAGGACUUGGAGUAGAGUUGAGGUUGGCGGAAUUGGACGGUGUAGCGGUGAAAUGCUUAGGAUAAUCGUCAAGAACACCGAUAG